GGUUGAAAGAAAAGGAAAAUGAAAUGAAGACAGUAGAAGCCAUGCCAAAAGAGAGGGAGAGUGAUCGUCCUAGCAAGCUAUUACAGAUUCUGGUUUAGAAUUUCAGAAAUGGAGAGAUAACUGGGCUCCUGAAUGAAUUAGAUUCUUUGAAGAAUGCAGUUGACUAUCAGAGGAAGAAAAAUAAGGCUUGAAGUGUUGCCACUCUGCCAUGCUACCCUGCG